rnacentral:misc_RNA from 1 species
UGCUUCACAAAAGCAACAUGUUUAAUUCAUAGAUUGAUAAUAAACUACUUGUUUGUGGAGACAAAAAGCAAACAAAUAAACAAAACGGCCUACAAAACAAGAAUUUACUAUUUCCAUGAAAUGUAAAUAGUUCAAAAUUAGUUUUAGCACUCUAACAGCUAUAUAAUUUAAAACAAAUAGAAACUGUCAAAUACGUUGAAUUUAAUAAACAAAGUUAAACACUUCUAUCAAUAAAUAGCAGCAAAAUAAAUCUUUUUAUUUAAUUGAGUAAAAGAUAAACUAAAUACGAUUUUAAGAAUGAAAUAAGAAAAUAUUUAUUGAAAAAUCCACCUGAAAAGACCAACAAGCAGUCAAUUCAAGUUGAGAAGAGAAGAAGCUAAGAAAAAUCUACCGGGUGCAAGAACGCAGUAGAACUCCUGGGUCAUGACAAAAUAAAUUAAAUUAUAACUUAAAG